GAAACAUUGUUUUCUGGCUCUUCAGUGCAGGAGAUCAAAGAGAAAGUCGGGCCAUUUCAGUAAGAAACCCGGGACUGUGGGCUGAGCUGUGGAUUCACAUACAAUCAAAGUGCCAUUUACAUGGCGACAUUCCUGCACAGUGCUGAUGCGUGUAUUAACCUUCGGACAAGUGGUUGUCAAGACCUGUUUCUGGCCCUGAGAAAGAAGAGCCCAUUCUAUCAUAAAGCAAGACAGGACUGCUGAUAUUGUGAUUUCAAGAGAGAUACAUGUGUGUGUACAAGGCACAUUAGUUAGAACUGUCCAUGCUCCUGCUGCUGAAUAAGUAUCCUGCCAUUAACUUUAUGAUGCUGCACUUAACUAUAACACAAUAUGCUGGGCUCCAGCGAUUCUGAGUAUCAAUAACAGAUCAGUACUCACAAACACAUAGAUCAAUUCAGUCCAACUAUAUGUUAUGAUUAUGUUUUACAAAGAAAUCUAUAGUAUUUUCUGGGGACCAAAAAGAAAAAUUGGAAGGCAAUGUGGCCCAUUGACCUCCAGUAGGAUAUCAUUGAAAUAGGAAGCGCCUGGUCACAUAUCUGUUCUCAAGAAUAAAGAAUGAUUUAGGCCACAACUCUUAAUUCUGGGGUCCACAACCUUUUUUUCACCCAUGAGCCACAUUCACAUUUAAAAUUGGGAGCAAAACAAGUAUAAAAUUCUAUGGAUGCCAAAUAAGGGCUGUGAUUGGCUAUUUAGAAACCUCUAUGAGGCAGCCUACAGGAGGCUCUGUUUGGCAGUACAUCUGGUUUUUAUGCAACCAAAACUUGCCUCCAAGCUGAGAAUAAAAAUAUAAGCACAUGGUUUAAAGCCUUUGAGAGCAACAUUCAAGGGUUGGUGAGCAAUAUGUUGCUCAAAAGCCACUGGCUGGGGAUUAUUAGUUUAAUUCUAUAUGCUCUGGUAAGGACACAUGAUUCUACCAUAUCUACCAUACGCUAGGAAAACUGGACAUAAACUGCACACAAAAUUCUAGAUUUUCUGGUACUUGUGCAGUUUGUCCAUACCAUAGAGAUGUCAACAUUUACAAACACAAAAAGACACUUGAAUGAUCUCAAACUCUCUUUCUGUAAAUGCUAACCUAAACUCACUGAUUCGUUUUACCCCCAGAGAACCACCGAUCCUGCAAAGAUGUUCCUGCUCACCUCCAGGGGCUUUAUUCUGGUAAGGGCACCCACGUUGUAUGCUAAUACCCAUUAUUUUCAGCCCUACUAUCAUCAAAUGAUCAUCAAACAGGAAAAAUAUUGUGACCCUUUCUUUCCUAGUUCUGUGUGAUUCUUACAAGAAGUCAGCAAACUAAAACUUGCCUCCAAGCCAAUAUUUCUAAAAUAAGCACCUACUUUGAGGUCACCAAGGGGUUGGUGAGCAACAUGUUACUCACAAGGUACUGGUUAGGGAUCACUGAUCUAGUCACUAGAGAAUAAUGGGGAAUGUUGGUUAAUUUGAUUCACCUAAAUAAGUGCCAGAGCAUAGUAAGAAUAUAAUGAUGAUUAUGGUCUUCGUGGACCUCUGCUAAUAGAUCUAUGACACUGAAACAUCAUUUUUGCCAUCAGUUAAAAAAAAAUUGGCAAACAGGACUAAAUCUUCCCAUAUGUUUAAUAACUUGUAAUCAUAAUCCUCCUGAAUCUUCUCAGUCUUGUCUCAAGCAGCUUAACAUUAUAAAGAGACUUUAUUCUCAUCAUAUUAACGUCUUCCAUUAUAAGCCUAUUACGAUUAAAUGCAGAUUUAGUCAAA